AGAUUCUUGACACGCUCCGACCGCUCCGACCGCAUCGGCACCUGACACCGACACCACCGCAUAUGCACAGCAGCACUGCGGCAGUCCAACGAGCGCGGCGCAUGUACGCAGCCAUUCCGAGUCCUCUUGAUGUUCGCGCGGCUAAGCCACCGUGGCAGCCUUUCGACAUAUGUACAGCGUGGUAGUUCCACUCACAUCAU
rnacentral:rRNA from 1 species